GAAGCAGGCCAGACCGCCGCUGGUGCAAGGUCACGAAAGAGCGCACUGGAGGAAGGUCCGGACUGCACAAGGCAGCGCAGCAGUUAACGACUGUCCACCGCGAGGUGAGGAUCAGAGCAACAGAGACGAGUCAGUGCAGGGCGAAAGUCCCGCAUUGGGUGAAACGGGCAAUCUCUGCGCGCAGCAACACCAAAUAGGCCAGCGUGAACGGCGCGGCAGCGUCCGCGUCGUUUGAGGUGCAGCUCCGCACCAGCUGGCGGGUAGGUGGCACCGAGCCGUGCAGCGAUGCACGGCCCAGAGGAAUGGCGGUCACGUUGAUGGCUUCGCAAGAAGGCGUCAAUGCACAGAAUCCGGCCUAUCGGCUUGCUUCACAC
rnacentral:RNase_P_RNA from 1 species